GCUGAGUGCAGUGGUGCCCACCUGUAAUCCCAGCUACUUGGGAGGCUGAGGCAGGAGGAUUGCACAUUGGAGGCUAGCCUCCACAGCUUAGAGAGACCCUGUCUCAA
rnacentral:sRNA from 1 species